rnacentral:rRNA from 1 species
UACAGAGGGUGCGAGCGUUAAUCGGAAUUACUGGGCGUAAAGCGUGCGUAGACGGUUAUGUAAGUCGGAUGUGAAAGCCCCGGGCUCAACCUGGGAAUUGCAUUUGAGACUGCGUAGCUAGGGUGCGGAAGAGGGAAGCGGAAUUUCCGGUGUAGCGGUGAAAUGCGUAGAUAUCGGAAGGAACACCAGUGGCGAAAGCGGCUUCCUGGUCCAGCACCGACGUUCAGGCACGAAAGCGUGGGGAGCAAACAGG